rnacentral:rRNA from 1 species
UGGGGAAUAUUGGACAAUGGGGGCAACCCUGAUCCAGCAAUGCCGCGUGUGUGAAGAAGGUCUUCGGAUUGUAAAGCACUUUCGACGGGGACGAUGAUGACGGUACCCGUAGAAGAAGCCCCGGCUAACUUCGUGCCAGCAGCCGCGGUAAUACGAAGGGGGCUAGCGUUGCUCGGAAUGACUGGGCGUAAAGGGCGUGUAGGCGGUUUACACAGUCAGAUGUG